UUUUUUUUUUUUUUUAGUUUUAUUUAUGUAUAGGAAUGUUUUGCCUGUUUGUGUGUGUAUGUAUGUAUGUGUAACACAGGUGUACCUGGCAUCCUAGGAAGUCAAGUGUCUGACCUUGUGGCACUGGAGUUACAGGUGCCUGUGAGUCACGGCCUUGUGUGCUAGGGGCCAAACCCAGGUCCUCUGUGAGAGCAGUAACUACUCUUAACCACAGAGACAUCUCUCCGGCCCUAAGUUUUUUGGAAUGUAGGUGCUUUAUUCUCAAAAGAUCUUAGUAUGUUCCAUUUUGCUGUCUUGAACCAGCAGACAGAGUGACUUAUGGUAUGCCAGAUAAAUAACCAGUUUCCAUUUUUAAAAGUAAUUUACAACUGUACUUUAGUUGUGUUUUAUUGUUUGUGACAGGUCUCAUCAAAUAGCCCAGUGGAAUUUACUAUGUAGCCUACCUAGGCUGUCUUCAGACUCACUAUGUAGUAAAGGUUGACCUUGAACCCCUUGUCAUCCUGGCUUCCCUCCCAAGUGACUACAGCCAUGUGUUACCACCCGCAGAAGGUUCUGGAAAUUCCUGUAUGAGAAAUUGUCUUUCCUUGUUUUAUAAGUGACAGAAAACUUGGUUGAUUUCAUCAUAUGUGCAAACUCUCCAGGAGCCGUGGGUGAAAGCAGGUAAGGAGACAGACUUAGAGGUCUAUCUUAAGGUCUCUAAGACCAGCUCUGUGUUAACCAAGCAGCCCUGUCUGGCCUGGAGCUUACCAGAUGGACAAGCCCAGCCUUGGAUUCACAGAGAUCCACCUGCAUCUGCCUUCCCGGUGCUGAGAUUAAAGAUUAAACCACCAUUCCCAGGGACAGUUUCAUUUUAAUAAAGGUUAAAACAUGAAUUGGCAGACUGUCUCUGAAGAGCCUCCUAGUGAAUGUUUAGGCUUUGGCCCAUGUCUAACCCCUGCAGUUGCAGGUGUGUUAUCCACAGGUGGUAUGCAAUAUAUGUACUUUUUAUGGACAUUGAAAUUUGAGGGUUUUUUUUUUUCACGUGUCCUGGAAUAUUGUUCUCAACAACUUAUCAAUAUAGAAGAAACUAAUGGUGUUUCAUAGAUUAGCAACCGCACAAGGCCGGGCAGGGGACCAGUAGAUCUGGACCAUAGUUGUGGACCCUGUUCUAGAGAACUCUGUUGUCAGCAGACUAUUCCUUUGAGCCUUUUCACAGCUGUAAGAACAGGUCAUUUUUAAAGCAACUCGGGUCUUAUUAAUUCAGGGAUGUGAUGGCACCAGACUGCUUGUGCUGGGCUUUUCCAUGUAUCUCUUGAGAGCAUUGUUCUAGAACCCAGCUUAGGGAAGCAGUUGGCCGGGUGAUAAGCAAUUGCACAGCAAACAUGUUAAAGUUAGUCUUAAUUUGUUUGUUUUUGAGAGAGUGUGUGUAAAAGAUUUCUUUUUUUUUUCAUUUUUUAUUAGGUAUUUAGCUCAUUUACAUUUCCAAUGCUAUACCAAAAGUCCCCCAUACCCACCCACCCCCACUCCCCUACCCACCCGUAAAAGAUUUCUUGAGAGAUAUUUUCUAAUAGGGCUGUCAUGACUGAAAAUAUGGCUCAGCCUCUUCUGGAACAUGCCCUGGCUGUCUUGCCUCGCCUCUGACUUUCUGCCUGCUCUUCAUGGACUAUGGCACUGUGUCUAGGUGUUUGUAUUUUUAGACACAUUAGAUGGAGAGUCAUGACCUUCACUGUCUAUCUCUGGAAAUGCCACUUGGGUCAUGACACUGCUUUGUACAGUCUGUGCUGUACCAGUGUGUGUGCCUUGACGGCAGUGACGUCGGCAGGUGGAGGAGGUGAAACUUGACCUCUGAUGAUUCCUGGCACAAAGUCUGGGCUGCUGUGUGUGCCUGGCCUCUCCCUGUUGCUGGAGGCGCUGCUGUGGCUCAGCAGUCCAGGGUGCAGGUAGCUUUCUUCAGGGCCCCAGCUACAGUCUCCUAACAUCAGUAUCCACAUGUGGACUUGGGGAUCGCUGGGAGAGUAAUGGGAACACAUAGUUUGACAUUGUAACAGCCUGCUUGCUCUUUAAAUGUUAGAGAGCCGCGAAUCAUUCAGACAGGCUAGGUACAUCUGUUCAGUCUCACAGAGCUGUAACUGAUGUAAGCAUAGUGCUAGAGAUUGAACUCUGGGUCCUGCCCACACUGUGCAAGCACUUCACCACUGGUCUACAUAGCAUUGAAACUUGCGGAACUAUGUCCUCAUGAGUAAAGUUAAACCCAGGGCAGCCCGCCAAACACCAUGGGCUUUGCUGAUAAAAAUGUAUUUAUUUUGCCAUUAUGGGUAAGUGCUGUACCACCAUAUGUCUCCAGCCCAGUUAGCAUUUUCUAAAGCACUAUGCACGGUGCACUGUCCCUGCCCUCACCCAGGAUACGGUGGUACACACUGCUAAUCCCAGCACUUGGGAUGUGAAAGGAGAAAUGGCUCAAAUAUCCAAGGACAACUAAAGUUAUAAAAGUAUGUCCGGU
rnacentral:lncRNA from 1 species